rnacentral:rRNA from 1 species
AAAGGAAUAGACGGGGGCCCGCACAAGCGGAGGAACAUGUGGUUUAAUUCGAUGAUACGCGAGGAACCUUACCCGGGCUUGAAAGUUAGUGACGGCGGAUGAAAGUCUGCUUCCCUUCGGGGCACGAAACUAGGUGCUGCAUGGUUGUCGUCAGCUCGUGCCGUGAGGUGUCGGCUUAAGUGCCAUAACGAGCGCAACCCUUGCCGUUAGUUGCCAGCGGGUAAUGCAGGGAACUCUAGCGGGACUGCUACUGUAAGGUAGAGGAAGGUGGGGAUGACGUCAAAUCAGCACGGCCCUUACGUCCGGGGCGACACACGUGUUACAAUGGUGAGUACAGAGGGUUGCUACCCCGCGAGGGGAUGCUAAUCUCGUAAAACUCAUCUCAGUUCGGAUCGGAGUCUGCAACUCGACUCCGUGAAGCUGGAUUCGCUAGUAAUCGCGCAUCAGCCAUGGCGCGGUGAAUACGUUCCCGGGCCUUGUACACACCGCCCGU